rnacentral:rRNA from 1 species
CCUACGGGUGGCAGCAGUGAGGAAUUUUGGUCAAUGGACGAGAGUCUGAACCAGCCAAGUAGCGUGAAGGAUGACUGCCCUAUGGGUUGUAAACUUCUUUUAUAUGGGAAUAAAAUGUUCCACGUGUGGGAUUUUGUAUGUACCAUAUGAAUAAGGAUCGGCUAACUCCGUGCCAGCAGCCGCGGUAAUACGGAGGAUCCGAGCGUUAUCCGGAUUUAUUGGGUUUAAAGGGAGCGUAGGUGGAUUGUUAAGUCAGGUGUGAAAGUUUGCGGCUCAACCGUAAAAUUGCAGUUGAAACUGGCAGUCUUGAGUACAGUAGAGGUGGGCGGAAUUCGUGGUGUAGCGGUGAAAUGCUUAGAUAUCACGAAGAACUCCGAUUGCGAAGGCAGUUCACUGGACUGCAACUGACACUGAGGCUCGAAAGUGUGGGUAUCAAACAGGAUUAGAUACCCUAGUAGUC